AACGAACGCUGGCGGCGCGUCUUAAGCAUGCAAGUCGAACGGCAAGAGAGGAGCUUGCUUCUCUCCUAGAGUGGCGGACUGGUGAGGAACACGUGGGUAAUCUACCCUUAAGAUGGGGAUAGCUGCUAGAAAUAGCAGGUAAUACCGAAUACACUCGGCAUAUCACAAGAGGUGUUGAGGAAAGGAAGCUACGGCUUCGCUUGAGGAUGAGCUUGCGUCCCAUUAGCUAGUUGGUGAGGUAAAGGCCCACCAAGGCGACGAUGGGUAUCCGGCCUGAGAGGGUGAACGGACACAUUGGGACUGAGAUACGGCCCAAACUCCUACGGGAGGCAGCAGCUAAGAAUAUUCCGCAAUGGACGGAAGUCUGACGGAGCGACGCCGCGUGGAUGAAGAAGGCUGAAAAGUUGUAAAAUCCUUUUGUUGAUGAAGAAGAAGGGUGAGAGGGAAUGCUCAUCUGAUGACGGUAAUCGACGAAUAAGCCCCGGCUAAUUACGUG
rnacentral:rRNA from 1 species